AUUCAAAAUGUUGCAUCAGCUAACAGCCGCACUCAUCAAGAAGUGCAGACAGAAUGUGUUUCCCCAAACCUACACUGUUAAUGGUCAACACUGUCAACUUCUUGGAUGCAGAACUGUAUAGAGAAGAUCAAACCAAACAUUGCUUGAGAAUCUGGACCAUAAGGAACCACACCAGAAACUAAGACACGAAGAACCUCAACGCUUUUAAGGGACACUCCUCUAUAUGGCUGUCCAUUAAUCCAAACUGAGAGGUCUCCUUUCUUAUAUGCUGGACAACAUCCAUUUCCUGUUCCUCAGGGUACUUGAAGGCUGAAGCAGCCCAAAUGAUGAUUUUUGCUGCCAGCUGGGGGCACUCAGCCCAGGCCUUGAGCUGGUUGUAGGUGACUGAAAUUUGAGUGCUACCAGGAGGAUCCUCCAUAAUUCCUCAUCCCAAGUGGGGAGAGAAGAAAGAGGAGAAAUUCAGAAUCUUGACGGAAGAGCCACGUUCCUGCUUCACCAUGGGGACUGAGUAGGAAGUUGUUUGCUUGUGUUUUCCUGCUGGAAAGACCAGAAUCUUGCAUUGCAGAGGAAGCCUUCCCCCAUCUGCUGGCUAGGCAAGAGGGAGAGAUGCAAAGAACAAUCAAAGAAGAGGACUGUGAACUGAAUUCAGUGUUCACCUCUGAACAGGGAUAAGAAAACCAGCCUGGAAAAUAAUACUCAUUUCAGUAUUGCUAUCCACACUGCAUCCAACCUGAGAGUCUGAACAUCAGCAUCCAUGGCAAGUUUUGUUUAACUUCCUUCAUAAACUGAAUCUAUGUCUAUUUUUGCAUGGUGGCCCUUUCAUAGCACCUAUUAAACAUUACUGGAAGAGUGUGCUAUGCUGCAAUAAAAGUGACCUUUAUACAUUAUCUAUAAUCUAGUUCGGGCUAUUAGAGUGUGUGAAGUGUGCAACUAUGUUUUUAGAGACUGAGAUGGGGGUAGAACUAGUAUCUGUUGUCUCUACUAUACUGAUGAAAAGUCUUCCCACCUUUAGCAUUACUUUCCUCUAUUGCAGCACUGUUGUUCACUGGGACAAAGGCAGAAGAGGUCUAAUUGUUUUUGCAAUGCAAUCACUCCAAAACUUUUGUCAUAGCUUUCUGGCUUGUAUUCUGCAGUGUUGACUGGUGGGACCUGCACUUGGGAUGUUGUGCAAACCCCAGACAGAUUGUGACAGAAGACUAGCAUACUUCAGAAACAUUUCUGCUGGUCCAGAUAGAAGUAGAAGCAGCUGGCAGAGACUCCGUGACAGAAAAGAGCAGCACGUUAGGCAAUGCAGUGGAAAGGUAAAGGAACAUGGUCUUUCUUAGUAACUUUAAGUCAUAAUAGCAAAACAUAUUUUACAGGCGUGAACACCAAUUUAAUUCACAAGAAAUUCCAAUAAAAUAAGUAGUACCUAUUAAAUCAGCCAUUUAUGAUGUGACAUUGUCUUAUGUUUUGGAACAGUAUCCAUUAGUCUGCUGAAUACAGAGAUUAUAUUACUCUAUAAUAAAAUGUCAGGGUGAUAUAUUUUCUUUUAUCGAAAAUCUGAAUGUGCAUAUUGCUUUCCUUAUUACAAGGUGUAGUCAUUUUCUACGGAAAAUAAACAACCCUCCAC